GACAUUAUUAAAUUUACAUUUUAAUUUACACAAAACAAAACAAGACUACAAGUUACAAAUACGCUCGUUUUAACGAAUAUUUUACAUCAAAUUUAAUAUACAUUUGGAUAUAUAUAGUUUUAAACAGACUUUGAGUGAUUUAUUGUUCGGUUAACUAUCAUUGCAUUGUUCGUGUUUUUGUCUUUAAUAUAAUGUUCAACUCAUAAAAACCGAUGAAUUAUACUUAGGUUAGGUUAUACUUAUAUUUAUACGUCGUCGUCGGUUUUUUGAUCUCUUAGUUUAAUUGUUCGUCACGAUCACUCAGUGCUAAUAUUAUAUAAUAUACGAUCGCGAGACUGCAGAAACAACUUCAGUUUGAGAGUUUCAUAAAAUUCAAACUAUGCGUUUUAUUGCGCAACCCAAUACACAGAAUAAUACAAUAAGAACAUGAUGUUUUCCCGUCGUGAUUAAGACGAAGAAAAAACUUGAAUAAAUGCGAUUUCAAUGACCGUUUCCGAAUCCACCAGUAUACAUUAUGUUAAAUAUUCGAUAAAUAAUUACUAUUUA